rnacentral:rRNA from 1 species
UGGGGAAUAUUGCACAAUGGGCGCAAGCCUGAUGCAGCCAUGCCGCGUGUAUGAAGAAGGCCUUCGGGUUGUAAAGUACUUUCAGUCGGGAGGAAGGUGUCAAGGUUAAUAACCUUGGCAAUUGACGUUACCGACAGAAGAAGCACCGGCUAACUCCGUGCCAGCAGCCGCGGUAAUACGGAGGGUGCAAGCGUUAAUCGGAAUUACUGGGCGUAAAGCGCACGCAGGCGGUUGAUUGAGUCAGAUGUGAAAUCCCCGGGCUUAACCCGGGAAUUGCAUCUGAUACUGGUCAGCUAGAGUCUUGUAGAGGGGGGUAGAAUUCCAUGUGUAGCGGUGAAAUGCGUAGAGAUGUGGAGGAAUACCGGUGGCGAAGGUGGCCCCCUGAACAAAGACUGACGCUCAGGUGCGAAAGCGUGGGGGGCAAACAGG